AUUAGGGUUGAGAACCAGGGCCCCGCAGCCCACCUGGAUGGCAGGGAGUGUUGGGUCGCUGCCUACGGCCCUCACAACCACCCUGAGAAAGAUGGACUCUUGACAAUGCCCAGUUUACAGCCGAGUAAACUGAGGCCCUCAGAAGUCACACAGAAGUCAGAAGUCCUCAGAGGCCCUCAGAAGUCACACAGUGGCCCAGGGCUCCUGGAGCAUAUUUGGUGUGUUUCCUUCCCACACUGCUGCCCCCCUCAACCCUAUGGUGCAUAAACUUUGAGCAAAUGGAGGUUUAUGGCUGAGGGAACACAAGGCUUCCCCAGGCUGUGUUGAGGAGACACUGCCUUGCAGAAGUCUUCCCUGCCCCAGGCUCGCUGGGGCCAUUUCCCAUCUGGCAGUAGCCCAGCCAGUGUGAGCUGUCCUCUGACCUGCAUGCAAGGGUGAGCUCAUUAGCCCCAUCUGAUGGACUUGCAAACCAAUGCCCAAAAAUCCCAACCAGUGUAACUCCAGUGGCUUCUGGGAAAGAGAGGAUGAGCCACAGGUUCUGAUCAGGUGCUGGAACAAACCACCCUUCUUAAGUGAGUCCCCCACGAACUUAGAAUUUGAGACUCACUCAUUGGCCAGGCUCAAUGGCCUCUGUUCUGCUAUCAAGAGGCUGCUGGGAUGUUACCCAUGGCAGGGAUAGAUGGGGAAGUCACCAUAUUCAAAACAAUCAUGUGUUGAAACACCUCCCCAGCUUCUGAUCUACCGGUAGUGGCAGCGGAAGCAAAUACAGCAAAUCUGAAACCCGAUGCCUACAGAACAGGGGUGUGAAAUGUGACGCCAGAGGCCCCCACACAGAAGUGGGUGUGGACAGCCACCUGCCUGUGAGCAACCAGGGGAAGCUAGCUUGGUGCCGAG
rnacentral:lncRNA from 1 species